ACAUCAGAAACAGACAUGCAGGGAAAGACACACAAUUAUACGGUGAUAAUGUGACUCAUUAACCUAUAAUGUUGCUUGUGGGAUCGACUGUCAACGUUCUUUUACUAAUUGUUCUUUGUCUACUUUUGACUCUUCCUUUAACAAUCGUCCCGGUGGAUCAUCUGCCUUCAUCUCACACCAACUCUCCGCAUGUCCUCCUAGCCUAUAUCCAUGACCAUUCGUGUGGUCUUCCUUUUUUCCUCCUGCCUGCCAGCUCCAUGUUCACUACCCCUCCUCUGCAAAUAUCUAAACCAUCUCAGCCUCACCUCUCUAACUUUGUCAAACUCCUUAACCUGAUCUGUCCCUCUGAUAUACUUAGUUCUAAUCUUGUCCAUCCUGCUCACUCCCAAAGAAAACCUUAGCACCACUGACCUUUGUUAGUGUACCGUCUACAGACCAUACAUCACAGCAGGUCUCACUACCAUCUUGCAGACCUUCCCUUUCACUCUGGCUCACUUCUGACAUAAAUCACCCCGGACACUCAUCUCCAUCCACAUCACCCUGACUGCACCCUCUUCUUCACUUCUACUCAUAUAAAGUUAUUUGAUAAACGAUUAUAAAGAAUUCAGACACGGGGCGCACGGUGCUCACUCAACGACCUAUGCUGUUACACCGCCGUCCUUGCAGUACAGCCUCCAGCCACCGGGGGAAUCUCUGAGCAUGUCUCUGUUAAAAUUGAUAGAUUUGAGCCGAUUUUGUAACGAUACGGGGUUGUCACUAACAUUAGCCCUCUUGAGCCGUUUCCGCUUGAAUUCACCGUUCUCCUGCUGAUUUAUGCUUUUAACAGUAAACAGAAAUAUGGCGCUAUUUACAUUAGAUUCCUGUGUUACACCUGCCAAGCAAUCCACGACAUGCAGAAUGACAGAGUGCUUUGGGGGUUUUCCAGGCCAGUCAGUCUUUGUUUAAGAAACCAAGAAAAGGCGAACAAAGGCAGCUAUAGUAACAGCUAAAGGUCCAUAUAUACUGUAAUACUUAAUGCUACCAGUCGGGGGCAUUCCUGUUUCAUCACAGACUAGAGAAAGAUGGCCAUCCUGCGGCUGUCAAAUAGACGGACGGCCGCUCGGGCCACGUGACCCUGCGGCCAGCCAAUGAGAGGCGACACUUUUGGUUGUUUAUGUCAGACGUAAUGGGAUAAUUUGGAGGAAAAAAAUGUUCAUUAUAGAACUAAUGAAGAUUUGCUGGCCGGAUGGCAGAAGCUGAAAAAUUAAUCUGGCCCAUAUUGAGGGACGGCGGGGCCAUAUUUGGCCUUGUGGCCAGUCAAAGGAUGGACAACAAAACGUGGCCGGUCAGAAAGGCCUCAAAUAAAAGAAUGGGAUAAAAGGUUCCCAGACAGUGACUAGUAGUUGGCUUUGUUCGGCCGAGGUCAGGCCGAGGUGUCCCGCUCACCAGCACGGCUUUUAAAGGAGGGGGAGAAAAAUGCAUUAGUUGGCUUUAAAAAAAAUGAUGUUAAAUCAAGCCGAACGAGAGAAAAAUGCGACGGCUUAAAAAAAUGAAGCUUAAUGCAAAAUUAGUGGAAAAAAGGGUGAAAGAGAUAAGUGGGAAUAUGCUAAAUGUGUGCCCUCACACGAAGAAAGAGAGACAUAAUGAGCGUCAUUGCGCAAGGAAUUUCGCUCUUUCGCUAAAGUGAUCCCUUUAAAAAUGGUAAAUCGCAAAUGUCAAGGUCUUAAUAGAUCAUCUUUACACCCAAAAAUCGACCAUUAAUCCGUAUGAAAUCCUUCAAGAUUUCACGAGGAUUUCUUUGGCUGCAGCUGCUCUCCGAGGAUUUGGCAAGACUGAUGCGCAGCCAAAACCUCAGUUUUACUACAUGAACUACUUUUACUCCUGCCUAUAAUACUCCUGUAAAAAGAUGAUGGAACAUAGGCAUUAAAGAGUUCCUAUGGAGGAUGUAAUGCGUUUGAAGCCUUUGCCAUGGCUGACAAAAUACAACUGGACUUAUGCAUCUUUGGGGUUAAUGGCUCUGAUCUAAUGAGUCAUUUAGACAAAGCAGCCCUUAAAGAGUGACUGAUAAGCAACCAAAUAGGUAAUAGAGUGGCCAGUUCUUUUUUCUUUCUGUCAGAAUAUUUUUUUCUGUGUCACGGUCUAGUGCCAUUUAAAUAGGCAGCUCUUCCAUUGUUGUUACAUUGGAUAUUUUUCAGCCGAAGUGUUUGUAGCUUCAGUUUCUAUCAGACAGUUAUUGUUCCAGCUGAGAUAAAGGGAAGGUGUGCACAGAUUUUCACUGAAGAGUUACAGAUUUACUACAUUUGUGAAUGGUCUGCAGAGGUGGAGUAAUCAGGGCAGCAAACAGAGUUGCAUUUUUUUUCAUAAGCCAAGGCUCUAUCAGCUCUACACCCCAGAUCAAGAUACUGCGCUGUUGUUCUUGUUGAGAUGCUGCACUUAAUAUCGAUUUUAUGAUUUGUCACUGAGCAAACCUUUACGCUAUCAUGCAGGAAAUUAGAUCCAGCGGCAUGAUCACAAUUCAUAAGAUAAGAUAAGAUAACCUUUAUUAGUCCCACACAUGGGAAAUUCAUGCCGUGAAACUCAGUAUGAGCAAAGCAUCCUGCCCGAUCUGCCAAUCCAUUUGUAUGCAGCAAAGCACAGCAUCACUUCACGGACACUUUUCUGUGCUUGACACUGCACAAAUGUCAAAUAAUCCUUCUAAUCUAUGAAAGUGUGGAACUGUAGGGCUGAAGAAGGACACGUUCCUUUAGCAAAGCUAGAGCACAGUAAAGAGUCAUCCCUUUUUCCUCCCCUGUCGUGGAUUUUGAUGGAUGGUUAGUCAUCGCCCAUAGACUCCCCAAGAACCCAAUCUGUGACUGAGGCAGCUCCACACACAUUCGGUUCUACAGGGUAUAUAUAGGCGAAGGUUCACUUCAUGGCUGGCUGCUGAUGACUUCUUUUUGUUGUUGACAGAGAUUUACACUCCUGUGCCCUCACUCUGACUUUUUUCACAGAGGCCAUUGUGUUGACUAAUGCUCUGCGUAAGAGUAAUUACAAUGCCCAAAAUCACUAUUCAGCCAGUCCCGUCUUUGUAAAGAUGUGCAUGUACCUGUUGUUAAGUGUCAUUGUAUAAUUUAUUGAAACCAUUAAUGGUGCUCCAGCAUGUACCUUCUGACAUCAAUAACUCAUUAUAAGGCAUACCACAUUAAUUUUGAUACAUGUGUGCAAUUACUGUAAACUGGUGAGGCCAUCAUCCAGAAGACUAGCAAGCUCGACAAGAACAUCCUGAGGCUUCAGACUUCUCCUCGGUCUAAAUAAUAAUGCUCUCCACAUAGGCACGAAUUGAUUCCCUGGAUCCAGAAGGUUAUCUGGAGCUGGAUUAGUUUGUGAUAUGUUCUUGAAAACUACAAGGCAGUGUCUUCUAAUUAUUCUUAUAUCAUUUUAAUGUGUACAUUUUAAAGAUAUGCUGCAAAAUGUUUCAUUUCGUCCCACCUAAUAAUGGUAAAUGUCCUUGAAGUUAAUAACUUCUAAAUUGGCUCUACAGUUUAACAUAAAACCAUAAAUUCUAGGCAGGUCAGCAAUAAUUGGCAUGAGGUGAAUUUCAGGUUUAUGAAAUUGGUCUUGCUGCAUGAAAAAUAGCUCAGCUUCCACUGGAAAGGGGACAAACAGUUGCCCAUAAAGUAACUGCACUAGUUAAUGUGAAAUUGAGAUGGUCACCUUGUCCUAGCCACAUUCUCAUUUGUUAAUUAUUAUACAAAAUGUCGGAGUUACUCUGAUAUCAAUUUUAUCGCUUGAACACAAUUGACUGAAGUUCUGCAAGUGUGACUGUGAGUCUGACCCCGCUUUCUCUUCCAUGUCUUUACUGAGGCAUAUUGUUUGGGCUUUCUGAGGUAAAAACUAGCAUAUCAAAAGGACUUUAUUGUAGUAGAGACGUUUCUUACUGAUGACCUCACUUUGUUGAACAAGUGUUGCACAUUUCUUUACUUUAACCAUUAGAAAUCAUUGAGGAGGCGAUCUAUUCUUUUGCCCACCAGCAGUUAAAAGUUGCAUCUCUUUCAUAAUUUAGCCGGCCAAGCUUUGAUUGUAGUACAACUGCCAAAUUGCAGUUGGUCUCCUGCCAAGUUUGCUGGUAAACAAACUACCAGCUGCAGUGAAACUAAUCCAAAUUAAAAUAGUGGCUGGGGGUAAUUUCCGAACUUGGCCUCGACUUCAGAUUUAUUGAACUGAACUGAAAAUUGCAGCGCUUCAGAGAACUUGGCCCUGAAACUGAAUCUAAAUUUCUCAUUAGUUCCUGCUGAAAUACAUUUAUGGUGGUCCACAGCGCCUCUAAAUGUUUACAGCUGAACAUCUGCCGUCAGCUGCCAGUGAACGCACCACAGUUUAUACCCAACUAUAUUUGAAUUCAAGUUGUGCACUUGCAAUUGACAGCAUUAGUCAUCAUGUUGACUCUUUUUGCUUGUAUAUUAAAUUUUGGCUAAGAUGUAUGUGUUACAUAUGUAUUGAUUUGUCUCACGUGUCAAUGCUCAUGCUCCAGUGAAGGCAACAUUAUCCACGCCUUUUUUUUUUUCCAUUCCCACACACUUCACCUCUUUAUAUUGUAAUGUAUCAUUAUGAAUAUUGCUGACGUCUGCAUUGUUUUUAGAGUUGUAUUGCAAAUUUGGUCAAGAUGCCACAUAGAGUUUCUGUUUCCAUUUCUUCCCCUAGGCGAUUUUCUGUGCUCUGGCAGACGCUGAUUCCUUGUGUUUACAUGUACCAAAUUCCCAUGGCUGGUUGAAUGAGUGCUUGAUGACAACUCCGGUCAGAACCAUUUGUUGCGAAAGCAAAAAGCUCGCGUUGCAUGGAGUGAGAAGAACAGCAAAACUUUAUGUAGAGCAUGAUUGGUUUCACGUUAAACAGUGGGAAAGCUAAACACAAAAAAGGGCGAAGCAAACACUGAUCCAUAACAAUUCUGAUUGAUUUGGGGUGAAAAAUUAAACUGCAGAGUUUAGGGGCACCUUUCUGCUGAUGUGGAAAAUACAAAUGGUCAAAAAAAGAGUUCAUUCACGUUGAACUAUUAAUCCCGAGUUUUUUGUUUUGUUUUGUUUUUUGACUUUCAUUUUUCACAAUUAUUCUUGCGCUCGGACACUGGAGUCAUUAGCUUGCACCUUUGAAUGGUGUUCCCUAGCUCUGAACUUUGGUGGAUUUCUUUUACAGACAACAACAACGGAGCGAUGCUUCGGUUUCUCAAAGAGCAUUCUUCUUUAAGAAUGUAGCCUAGCUGCCGUCAGGUCGCCAGAGGGUCAAUCAGAAUCGUUGACCGCUGGUUCACCGUUUCAUUAGUCCCCGCGCUGGACAGGCCAACGCAGGGGCUCGAGGUGGGGACCACGCAGAGUUCACGCGGCCUGCGGGAGUCGCGAGCCUAUUGUUCGGUGGGCUUCUUCCUCCCUCUCUCCCUCUCUCUCUCUCUCUCCCCCCCUCUCUCUCGCUCUCUCGCUCCUUGGAUAGUCUCCUCCAAUAUUAAGGGUUAAAGUGGGAGGAUGCGUGCGUGGCCGUUAUUUGAAUAUGAUCCACUGAUCUAAAAAGGGAUUCUCUACCACAUUUAUGACUUAUUGCUACUUUGGCAGCGGUUUAAUCAACCUUCUCGUAUCGGUUUUCCAUUAUAGGUUGAUUAUUGAUUAACGCUGUAAAUCUGGUAGUAUAAUUAGACGUCUUUAAUGUCCCUCUUCACUCCGGUUGUAGAUUUAAUUCAAUCCAAGAUGAUCGCCCUGGAUACUCUCGCUGCAGACUUUGUGUUCAUGUGAUACUCCGAGUACGUAAUUUUUCACUAGGCUGUCUUUGCAGAUCUGAAUCCAACACUCGGGUCUGCAGAUGAUAUAACCGCAAGCAGCAGUAACAUAAGCACUUAUCCGUAUAAACAACCUAUUGCCUUUUAGAAGAUCGCAUAAAUAAAUUCUCCUCUCAUCCCGAGUUUGACAUGAAGCCAUUCAGUUGUGGCUUUUCUUUCUGGGGUCGUUUCACUUUUUCAUCUUAGACAGGCUGACCGCGGGCUCACCCCUCCACCCCCGGCCCUGUGCCGGGUCAAAGCCGAGCUGAGAGCUGCUUUAACCCGGUUUAGACAUUAACUGCGAACUCCAGCCCCGCAUGGGAACCCAGCUGACCAGUGCGAUCGAGCAGAACCCGCAAAAUCUGGCUGUAAAUUAGUAAAACUAACAUGUAAAAUUAAAUGCCGAGGGCAGGUUAAAUGAGCAAGCACUUAUGGCAAGACUGCAAAAUA